GGCUUCAAGAUUCUGGGGCUACUGAAAGAGCUCCAGAAAAACCCAGCCGUUGUUCCUGACAUGUCCGUGUGUGAGGAGAAAGCCCUCACUGCCAGGGACAUGAGCCACAGUGGCCUAUUCUGCUCAGGGCAGCAAUCAGCGCGUUCUGGAGAACCAGUUGGUCUGCUUUAGGAGUGACUGGCUGAUUGACAUUAAAGAAGAGGAGGAUGGUCCACCCUCUCUCUCGAUGUUCACCUCUGCCAUCCCUCCACUUGGCUUUUCCUGCCAGCCUGAAAUCCAGUUUCUGCAUGACACCAAGACAAUUUACCCAGAAGCCAAUACUAGUGUUGUUGUCCUGUUGUAUCUGUCGCUGCACUCCUCCUACAAGGCUGUUAGAAUAUACAUGAUGGAGGGAAUUUUGCAAGGUCCGACCUUUGGAGUUUCUUAAAUGAUCACGAAUGUGACUAUGAAAGGUUACGCUGUAAGGUGAUGACGGGUUUGCAUGUUUGUCCAGCUGUUGUUAAUGUUUUACUUAAUUUUAAGGUAAAACGUGGUUUUACAAGUCUGAAAAGUGUACCAGUGUUUAAAAAAUACUGUUCAUAUGUUUUUUACUAAAAGCCUUUAGCUGGUCCUGAGGAUAAAAUAUCAGAAGACUGUGCCAGAUGAUUCAGGUUCUGUCAUUAAACUUCUGAAAUGGUUUUAGAUUUUAACAACUUUCAGGAAGUUGACAAAUUGUUAUCCAAGACCAUCAUAUGUUCUCUUCUAGGUUUGUCUUUAUGGCAAUAAAGAAAAUACUCAAAAUUAAAGUUUGAUACAUAAAAAAAUAUUAAACUGAACUUAUCAUGGCCACUAAUGACAAAGAAAAAAUAAAUAAACAGAUAUUUUUGCCAAAAGGAGGGAGAAGUUUAACACAAGAAGAGGGCCAAAAUAAAAAUGUGUUUCUUAAAAGAAAGAGAAUGAAUAAAUUUCGUCCCACUUAAUGAUUGUGUCCCACUUGUUGAUUCUUCACGAAAACAUGCAGUUUUAUAUCUUUAUGUUUGAAGCCUGAAAUUUGGCCAAAGGUUGAAAAGUUCAAGGGGGCUAAAUACUUUCAGAAGGUUCUAUAUGUGAGAUCAUGUUGGUCCAGACAACUCCUGUAAGACAGCAGCUCCAGAUGUAAGGGAGAGGUUGAAACAUAAGAUAUGCAAACUAUAUAGAAUUUCCCAUUAGAGUCAAUAAAGAAGCUGUUUUAUAUUA